CUCAUAGCGAAAUAAACAGACAACAUGAAGAUUUGCAGCACCACUGUAAAAAGUACCAAGUACAACUUGGUAGUAUGAGACUAACAUUUUAUCAUCCAUUCCUGGGCUAGGACAUUACAGUUGGAAAUUUCAAUUACUCAAAAAUACAAUGAAGCUACAUAGGUACAUCCUGAUUUGGCAAGAUAGAUUUCUCUAAGCCUUCAAAAAAAAUAUAAUUGUAUUGCAAAAUAUUGGUAAUCUUUGAGGGCUCCAUGCUAAUGGGAUCAAUGAGAUAACAAUAAGUGUAUCAUCGGAUAAAGAUGACAUUCUUAAUCUAUUUCAGAAAUGUUGCUUUCAAAGAAUGUUUUGUGGAGAGACCUCACACACUGUUCUGCUUCGUUGUCAUUCACUAUUAAUGAUAUAUUGACCUUAGAUGCACCUUGCGAUAUCAUCUGAACAUUGACACCAUUGGUUCGAAGAACAUUAAAUACCUUCUCUAAUAUCAAUGAUGACCUCUGAACAUUCCCAAUGAGAGAUAUAAUUGAUCUAUGCUGAAGGAGAUUGACUACAGCAAUUUUCUCAAGCUCUUCUACAACAUGGUCAAGUUCCUGCUGAAUGAGUUCCCUGCUCCAAAGCUUUGAUGGAUCCAGUGUCAGCGAAAUACUGACUUCACUAGUGGCUACAACAUCCACCGAUAUGCCCAAAUCUUCAAAGGUUGAAAAUACCUUUGCAAGAAAGCCAUAUUGACCAAGCAUUCGUGUGCUAACAAUAUCCAACAUGGUCACAUUCCGUUUCAAAACAAUGCUGGUUAACACUGCCUUACUCAUAUCUCGUGUCCUGGUGAUGAGAGUUCCAGGAGCACAUGGGUUAUAAGAAUUCUUAACCCUAACAGGAAUAUCACCCUCUCUAGCAGGUCUCAUGGAUUGUGGAUGCAGAACCUGUGCACCAAAGUAUGCAAGUUCAGCUGCCUCAUCAAAUGUCAAGUACGGUACGGGUUCCGCAUGCGGAUAUAUAUUAGGAUCACAUGUCAAAACACCAUCAACAUCUUUCCACACCUGAAUCUCUCGCAAACCCAAUGCUUUUCCAAUGGUUGUGGCGGUCAAAUCACUACCACCCCUACCCAAUGUAGUAAUGGCACAGGAUCUCCAGCCCUUUCCAAGGAAGCCAGUAACAAUUGGAAUUGCAGAAUUAUUUAUCCAAUCCCCGUGUAACCUCUUUGCAACUGCUGGAUAAGUUGCUUCCAGAAUGUCUGCAUUUGUGAAGUCAUCUGUGGUGAUAAAACCAAUAUCGAAGGCAUCAUAUUGCAAGGCUUUUGCACCAAUUUUAUUCAAAUAUGCUGCAAAGAUCCUUGUGGACAUGCAUUCCCCAAAUGAAACUAGGUAAUCUCUUGUCCGCGGAGUCAACUCUUUCAUCAUAGCAAUUCCCUUCAAAAGUUGCUCCAGUUCUUCAAGGUGAGUAGAUAUAAUUGAUCGGUCUACUCCCAGCUCGUCUACAGUUCUGAGAUGCAAUUCCUUUAUGAAGCUCAGCUCAUCAAUAGCAUCUACAUUAGUUACUCCACAACAAACAGCCUUUUCUCCAGCCAAUAAAAGUUUGUUAGUCGUUUUUCCCAUGGCAGAUAGAACAAUGACAGGCCUCUCAUCUGGGAAGCUAAGUAUAAGGUCGGCAACUUCUCUCAUCCUCUCAGCAGAGGCCAAUGACGAGCCACCAAACUUCAUUACACACGUAAAUUGUUUCUCAGAUUCAGCUUCAUCAUCACUAAGAUACUCAAUUUUGUUCCUUUCAAGGACAUCAGACCUUCGUCCCUCACAACUGACUCUCGAAACUCUACUCGCACAAGAAAAUUUUACACUUGCACACAAUCCAGAACUCGGCGCAACAGAGUUAGCAAAAUCAAUGCGCUGUGGCAACGAAGCUUUACAAUGCAUCAGACUCUUUGGGAAAACGGGGCAGGCAACUUUACCACCACAAAAAUGCAACGCGGUUGCCAUUAUAGAUAAGCUAAUUACUCUUCCUAAUACAAAUUAACAAGAUAUUUCGAUGAAUGAAGGAAUAAACUUCACCUUCAGGAACUCGAUCUUUGAGACCGAGCUCCCAAGAGAAGAAGAAAUGCAACAGUCGGGUGGUUCUUAGGGUUUAUGGUUUAGGAGAUCUCGCAAUUCCUUGAGAGAUACGGAAUGAAGGUUUGAGGCUGUGGAUGAAGGGAAGGGAAGGAGAAAAUGCUGUUAGUGUCCAAAAAUGAAAUCAACGCGGCGGCGAUUCUC
rnacentral:misc_RNA from 1 species